ACGGUGAGGGAUGAAAGCUGGGGGAGCAAACCGGAUUAGAUACCCGGGUAGUCCCAGCUGUAAACGAUGCAGACUCGAUGAUGCAUUGGCAUAUAGCCAGUGCAGUGUCGCAGGGAAGCCGUUAAGUCUGCCGCCUGGGAAGUACGUACGCAAGUAUGAAACUUAAAGGAAUUGGCGGGGGAGCACCACAAGGGGUGAAGCCUGCGGUUCAAUUGGAGUCAACGCCU
rnacentral:rRNA from 1 species